GGCACAUAUGAUGAAUACUUUGGGACUUAAUACAGAAUAAGUCAUGUUGAGAUCCUCAGCUGAUGUGC